rnacentral:piRNA from 1 species
UAGAAAAUUGGCUAUGGUAGCAACGG